GUGCUCAUUUUGGUAGCGCAUCUCCUAAAAUUGAAAUAAUUCAGAGAAGAUUAGCAUGGUCCCUGCUCAAGGAUUACACACAUUUGUGAAGCAUUCCAUACUUAA